CACCGGCAGCUCUAGUGGUAGCAGUUUUAUUGGGCCUAAAGCGUCCGUAGCCGGUUUAAUAAGUCUCUGGUGAAAUCCUGCAGCUUAACUGUGGGAAUUGCUGGAGAUACUAUUAGACUUGAGAUCGGGAGAGGUUAGAGGUACUCCCAGGGUAGAGGUGAAAUUCUGUAAUCCUGGGAGGACCGCCUGUUGCGAAGGCGUCUGACUGGAACGAUUCUGACGGUGAGGGACGAAAGCUAGGGGCGCGAAC
rnacentral:rRNA from 1 species